UUGCUUGCUCUUGCCUCUUGUGCUCGUAGCUGCAGCAGCGACAGCGCUACCGUCCCACCAUCGCUACCGAGCCUUGGGAGCUCGUCGCGGACCAAACAAGCCACCCAACCUUGCAUCCGAGGGCACCAUUCACUUUCUCUUCAUUUCCUCCAUCCAGUGCACACGCUGAGCCUUGGUGACGCUUCCUCCGCCCUCUUCUUGCCCUGUUUUCUUGC
rnacentral:lncRNA from 1 species